GUGUCAGCCGCCGCGGUAAUACGUAGGGGGCAAGCGUUAUCCGGAUUUACUGGGCGUAAAGAGCGCGUAGGCGGCUUCUUAAGUUGGCAGUGAAAGAUUCCGGCUCAACUGGGAUAAGCCUGUCAAUACUGGGAGGCUUGAGGGCACCAGAGGAAAGUGGAACUCGCGGUGUAGCGGUGAAAUGUGUAGAUAUCGCGAGGAACACCAGUGGCGAAGGCGGCUUUCUGGGGUGUUCCUGACGCUGAGGCGCGAAAGCGUGGGGAGCGAAGCGGAUUAGAAACCCGCGUAGUCC
rnacentral:rRNA from 1 species